AAUACAUUUUACUGAGUGGGAGGAAGGAGAAGGUGGAGCUGAAAAUGAGGCCAGAGAGUUAAAAUCUGCAGAGAAGGGGAUGGAGGCCCUGAGACUGCUGGGUGCAAGGGUGGUGGUCUAGGACUGCCCUGGUGGUGUCCAUGCCACUGGCCAGCUUUGUGUGUGUAUGGGAACUGUUGAGUCUGAUUGAGCACCUGGGGAAAGUACCUGGGGGCACAGCUGAAGGCAAUGCAGCUGUGUGAGUGGAAGUGGUGGAACCUCUCUUAGACCUCAUUUAAGGGCUGACUGCUGCUAGGGAAGGAUCUCUCUCUGGAAAUCCCUCCUUGGUGGAGCUUUUCCCUGCAAACCUGAAUUCUUCUGAUACAGUGGCAUCAGAUGUGAACCAAUCACAGCAAUUGAGUGGGUUCUGCACAUCAGGGACUGAGAGCUGAUGGGAAGAAGGAGGGAGAGGAACCCUGGAAAAUUCUGUGUUGUAGAAGGACAAGGAUGGAUGACAGGCUGCCUCCAGGCUUUGAAAAGAGGUGCGGAAAAGCUUAAGGAAUUAACGAGGACUACUGGGAAAUCACUCACGAGAAACUUUCAGUGCUCUCAACUCAGGAAAGAAAUAGGAAGAAAAUCCUUUAUAUGGUGGCUGGAAGGGUGAAAGCUGCAUUUCCCCAUGCCAGGGGCUGCGGAGGAGGCAGAGGCAGAUACCUGGGGCUCCCUGGCAGCGCUUGUUGAAGAUCAGCCUUGAUCAGAAUAGGUCUUCUCACAGGAAAUAUCAACUUUUUGUCAAAAAAGCCUGAAGAUAAAUAUUCUUGGAUGAAAUCCUAUAAAAAGCUCAGACUGACAAACUAUUUUUUUCAGGCACUUCUUUUUCUCCCAACAAGAAUAUAUCUGUCAAGAGAAACAGAUGUUCUCUAUGAAAAAUCUUCUUUAAUUACAAGUCUGUCAGAAGGAGGAGCAAAGCCACCAGCCAAAACACAGUGACAAACCCACAACUGGCAGCUGAAAGCUCCCUCCAGAGUGUAGGACAUCUGCACGUCACACCAAAUGUUGCAUAAUAAAAUAAGAAUGUCUGAAAUCUUACACUUCCAGAAAUCUUCAAGUGUCUCAAGCCUCAAAUGUGUGAAUGGUUUCAGCCCCAGGCAGGAAAUUGCCCCUUUCCUGAGCAGCUCCUGUGCCCUUCUUCAGCUCUUGUCACGUCAUCCCUGCCGCUGCACCAAUAAACUGGGAAUCUCUGGAGUUUAGUUUUCAGAUGAGCCUGCUUCAAAUCAAUGGAGCUGCUGCUUUUUGUGACUCCUGGGAAUAAGAUGGUAUGGAAACGACCCACAGCCAUGCUCAAAUAAGAAAACUAAAAGAAUUAUUGGUUUUGGUCAACCUGGAACGUGGCUCUUUUUGCCCUGAUGUUUUGCUAGAGGAAAGUGAAACUCUUCAUUUACAGAUUCAAAAGAAUCCCAAAGGCACUCUGUCAGACAUCUCCCAACGUGCUCUCUCAGUUAUUGCUGGAUGGAUCACAAGUUCUCCAGGGAGCAAUGAAGAUGUUUUUGUGGGUUGCAAAACCCAGGUCAAAACUCAAAGGCUGAAAAUACUCAAUUCCAAUGUCUGCUUCUUGCUUCCAGAGGAGAUAUCUGCUCUUUGCCAUUGUCUUCUUCAUGUUUGUCUUCCCCAUCUUCAUCUUUGUCUUUGUUUUCCUUCUCCUUUUUUCUCUCCUUCCUUUUCCUCCUUCCUCCAGCUUCUAAAUCCCCACCUCCCCUUGACCUGCCCUCCUUUCCUGCUCCCCAUCAUACACUGCAUGCUGAAUGCAGGAGGCUCUCAAAAGCAAGAGCAGGCUUGGGACACUCUUACCCACAACAGCAGCGGUGAACAGAACCCAGGUUUUCAGCCAGGAAAUUGCACUGGUAAUCUCCUUUGAGGGAGGCACUCCCAUUUUUCAUGAUGGUUGGCCCUUAUGGGAUAUGGAUGAAAAGAGAAAGCAUUUCAUUUGCUCUUUGAAAACUGGAGCUAUAGAUCAAGGCCCUGCUCAUUCCCCUGAAGACUAGAAAUGGGAUUUUUGCAAGAAUUGAGGCUAUCCUCUCUGAAAACUAAAACAGUUAUCUACACUUUCAUCGAGAGGUCAGCAGUAGAGACUUUUCUCAAACAGCUGGAUAAAUCCAGGCUGUUAGUGCCUCUCCUUCCCACUCUCCUCUGUUAUUGCUUUUCAUUACAUGAAGGGUGAGGAACAAGCAAAUACCUCUGCUUCUCAGCUUUGCCCUUGCCUGUUUGUACAAAGCAGCCAAAUAUUUCCUUCUGACACUCAGGACCCAUGUACCUCUGGUGUCUGUGAUUUUUCCCUUAGCUGCCAUGGCCUGGAUGCAGAUGCCCAGGGCUGCUUAAUCCUAGCAGAUGGCAUAGAAAUGUUAUUUUCUGGACAUGGGCGCUCCUCUAUGGGUGCCACGGGACCAGGGCAUCCUUUGUCUCUUGGACCCAGCGUGAUCUCCUGUGACAUUGGGCAGGAGGGUUUGCGGAAUCACGCUGCAUCCUGCAUCCCUGAGCCUUGCAGCCAUAAAUCCUUUGCCUCUGCCACAACUGUGAUUGAGCCUGCCUGGCUUAAUUCAUUCCUCCAGAGCCCACACAGUUAUGCCUGCUCAAGGAGCAGCACUUGGGAUGAAAUCUUUUCCUCUUGAGAGUGCUGCAAGAAAAGCAAGGCAGGAUCCAUGAGCUGCCAGCAUCCCUGUGUAGGCAGUGCCUUUCCUUGGCCACUUCUUUGCCGUGCUCUCAUCCUUCCUGACCUCUCCCUUUUCUCUCUGCUUCAUUUCUGCCUAUCUCUAUUCCUAU